AGUGAACGCUGGCGGUAGGCCUAACACAUGCAAGUCGAACGGCAGCACAGUAAGAGCUUGCUCUUACGGGUGGCGAGUGGCGGACGGGUGAGGAAUACAUCGGAAUCUACUUUUUCGUGGGGGAUAACGUAGGGAAACUUACGCUAAUACCGCAUACGACCUACGGGUGAAAGCAGGGGAUCUUCGGACCUUGCGCGAUUGAAUGAGCCGAUGUCGGAUUAGCAAGUUGGCGGGGUAAAGGCCCACCAAGGCGACGAUCCGUAGCUGGUCUGAGAGGAUGAUCAGCCACACUGGAACUGAGACACGGUCCAGACUCCUACGGGAGGCAGCAGUGGGGAAUAUUGGACAAAGGGCGCAAGCCUGAUCCAGCCAUACCGCGUGGGUGAAGAAGGCCUUCGGGUUGUAAAGCCCUUUUGUUGGGAAAGAAAAGCAGCAGGUUAAUACCCCGCUGUUCUGACGGUACCCAAAGAAUAAGCACCGGCUAACUUCGUG
rnacentral:rRNA from 1 species